rnacentral:rRNA from 1 species
AUUGAACGCUGGCGGCAUGCUUUACACAUGCAAGUCGAACGGUAACAGGCCUUCGGGUGCUGACGAGUGGCGAACGGGGGAGUAAUGCAUCGGAACGUGCCCAGAGGUGGGGGAUAACGCAGCGAAAGCUGUGCUAAUACCGCAUGUGAUCUGAGGAUGAAAGCGGGGGACCAAGCAGCAAUGUUUGGCCUCGCGCCUCUGGAGCGGCCGAUGUCAGAUUAGGUAGUUGGUGGGGUAAAGGCCUACCAAGCCGACGAUCUGUAGCUGGUCUGAGGGGACGACCGGCCACACUGGGACUGAGACACGGCCCAGACUCCUACGGGAGGCAGCAGUGGGGAAUUUUGGACAAUGGGCGCAAGCCUGAUCCAGCAAUGCCGCGUGCGGGAAGAAGGCCUUCGGGUUGUAAACCGCUUUUGUACGGAACGAAAAGGCUCUGGCUAAUCCCUGGGGCUGAUGACGGUACCGUAAGAAUAAGCACCGGCUAACUACGUG